rnacentral:miRNA from 1 species
UAGGUGGUUUUGAAAAUGACG